rnacentral:rRNA from 1 species
GACGAAGGGGGCUAGCGUUGUUCGGAAUUACUGGGCGUAAAGCGCGUGUAGGCGGUUAUCCAAGUCGGGUGUGAAAGCCUUGAGCUCAACUCAAGAAAUGCACUCGGUACUGGGUGACUAGAGGACCGGAGAGGAUAGUGGAAUUCCCAGUGUAGUGGUGAAAGUACGUAGAGAUUGGGAAGAACACCAGUGGCGAAGGCGGCUAUCUGGACGGUGACUGACGCUGAGACGCGAAAGCGUGGGGAGCAAACAGG